GCAUGUGCCAGUGCAAGGGCAAGUCAUGAUGUCUGUCCCCGCGGUGAAGACCAGAUGCAGGUUCUGAUAAUCAACGUCGGUGCUGACCUUCAGCCCGAGCGCACACACUCGGAGAAAAACCGCCGAGUCCUCUGCUCUGUCAUUGUGUGAUUGGCUCAAGUUGUUACCAAAGCAAACUGGGUUAGCAAACCGCAGGCCUCUUCAUCAUGUGAGCAGCAGACGGAGGCCGAGACAGAUGAAAAGUGAAGUUGGUGAUCAUCUACACCAACAUGUGAAGGUCUGCGGGGGGACAAAUGACAGGGAGCGCAGCAGGAUCCGCCUAAAGGGAGUUUGUGGUCAGUGUUGUGCAUCUCUGUUCAUUAUUUCAACACAUACAUCAUCAGCGCACGGGACGUCUUCCCAGUGAUGUCCUCAUGUAGACUGUCGGGGUUUGAGUCCACUGCGGUGAAGAGUUGUCUCUUUUAUCAUCUGUUUGUUGUUGUUAAUGUCACAACACUUAUUAAUCAGAAGCUCAGCUGCUCGUUACGUCUGUAAAUCAGGACGGGCACUAAAUUAACUAAAUUAUUAUUUACAAAGAUGAAGUGAAGCUGGUCGUUUCUAUCCGACCUGCUCUGAUCGGUGUGAAUGCAAAUUUCACAAUGGUGCCGAAAAAAGAAAAGAAGAUAGUUUGAAUGUUCUGGGACUGAUUCAGGCUUCAAGUGGAGUCGUGAACCACUGACUCCCUCUGCUGGACAGCACCGAGACCGCAGGACGGAGCCGGCAACGACAAACUGACGUCUGACAGGAAGACAAGCAGAGUUGGACGUAUCAAGACGUAAUGUCCUGAGAAAGUGUGACAGCAGUCUGAAACAUAUUCUAAUCCAUCAUCACUAAAGAGGCAAAAAAACAACCACAAAGAGACAAAAAAUGGCCUCAAAGACUCAAGAAAAAUCUCAGAGACACAAAACAACUACAAAUACAUGCAAAACAACCACAGAGAGACACAAAUGGUCCCAAAGAGACAAGAAAGGAUCUUAAAGAGAUGCAAAACUACAGCAACUACAAAUACACGGAAAACGACCACGUACAACGUACACAUAUUUUUUACAUGGCUGUAAAAAAUAUGUGGAGACACUAAUGGAAGAUAUUUAUCAACUUUACUGAACUGAAUUACUCGUCAAAUUUGUCCCAAACAUUUGUCCUGGACGUGUCCAAGAUGUCGCGACGGUCCAGAAACCUGAUGUCAGUCUUUAAAAACACAUUUUCACACACGUGGGAAGCCACGCCUCCACGGUUCAAGUAAAGCUUCAUGUUUCACUGUUGGACUUUUCUCCAUUUGAAGUCAAACACUGAGCCACACGACCAGCACGCCCCCCCCCCCCCCCCCCCCCGAAUAACAUCCUUUGAUGAAAUUAAUAUUUGAUGAACCUAAUGUGUAAAAUUGAAUGAAAUCACUAAGAUUCUUUUUAAUUUUCCAUCUGCUUCAAUUUAUUUUUAGAUAAAUAAACUGUGUUUCACGUAGAGUUUUGUAUUUUUCAGAUGUGCCCGACACCUUGGGGUUUGCAGAAUCCUAAAUCCUAAAUAAAGCGUUUACAAAAACA